UCCUCAACGGCCGCGGUAUCUUGACCGUGCAAAGGUAGCAUAAUCAUUUGUCUCUUAAAUGGGGACCUGUAUGAAUGGCUUUUCAUUCUCUAGCUGUCUCCCUUCUUCCCCCUUUAAACUUCUAUUUACGUGAAGAAGCGUAAUUUUGACAGAAAGACGAGAAGACCCUGUCGAGCUUCAGCUAAACCUAAGUCCCACUACAUUUCCUCUCAGAGAAAAAGUAAAGUCCUUAGAACAAGCUUUGGUUGGGGCAACCAUGGAGUAAAAACAGCCUCCAGUUUUUCAGGUAGAAAACUAUUCUCCUAAAUAUACACUUUUAGAACCAAAAAUUUUGGAAAACGGAAAAAGUUACCGCAGGGAUAACAGCGUUAUCUUUUCUGAGAGCCCUUAUUGACGAAAAGGA
rnacentral:rRNA from 1 species